rnacentral:lncRNA from 1 species
AAUCUGGUGGUUGUGGAGACGGGAUUUGUUGGUGGGUGUUCCUUGAGUGUAUGGAGCAGUCCUUUUGAUGGAGUCUUUAAUUUUGGGCGAAGUUUCUGGAAACCCAUCCUUUCACCAUCCCAAUUACUCUAAAGCUCGAGUCUCUGAAGCAUUUGAGAAAAAGCACAAAUUCAACAGGUAUAUAUUUAAUACGAAUGAAUGUAAAUGUGUGCCCCCCGCCCCAAAUCUCUCAGCAGUUUGCGUUUAACCUUAGACAAUUCCUCCUCCAUGUUAAGUCAGACCAGUACCGAGGUUCGUUUUUAAGUGACUACCUAGAAUAAAACAGAAUCUGGUAGAUAACAGAUACUGCAUUAGGAAUGCUGAUGUAAUGUGACUCCCGCGGAAGAAAUGGUUGGUCCUGGGAGAGCAGUAGAAAGCUGGGGGAUGUGAGGGUAAUACAAGACACAAAGAAGGCAGGCGAUUGGAGACUUGAGAAAACAGAUCCAGGGAAAAGAUGGGUAUGAUUUUGAGCGAGAGGCUGUAAAAGGAAAAGCAUUUUUAAAAGAAUGGGAAGCUUUGAAAAAUAAAAUGUCUGAGUUCACCGCAGAAUACUCCCAAUGAAGAAGAAAGGGAAUGGCAACCAAGGAAACCACUGUUCUCUAAUGAUCUCAGGUGAUCUCUAAUGAUCUCUAGUCAAAAGAUGGAGAGAGAAAGCAUUUGCUGAAGAAUGAAUUUUAAAAGGGACCAAAAUCUAUAAGAAUUGUGCCAGGAAAGCUAAGCUGCAGAACAAAGUGGGCUUGCAGAAAUACUUAGGUAGCGAAGGAAGCAAGAAGGUUGAGUAUUUUUUAAAAAUAGGCACCGAAGAGAAUAAUGAUGAUGGUAAAAGAAUAGACCUUCUAUUUAGGAAGUUGAGGUUAACAGAUGACAGAGGGAAGGGAGGGAAUCAACAUUUUUUGAGUUAUUGUUUUUGGGGAUCCUUUGCAUGUGUCUCUCAUUUAAUCCUUAGAGGAGCCGUGAAGAGACUCAUAUUAGUGCAAUUUUACAGAUCAGAAUCCCAGGCCUAGAGAAGUUAAUUUGCUUACGGUCACAAUUGAAAAGUAAAACUGAGAAGUAAACCCUGCUAAACUGGGCUCCAAGAGCCCAUUCUUUAUCUAAGAUUCCACAACAUUCUACUUCUAUUUUCUUUCCAUUUUUGCCAUUAGAAAAUGACCUUCACACACAAAAAUGAGAGAGAAAAAAAUUAGUAAGAGGAGCUUAAUGGGUGAAUCUUAUGGUAUGUAAAUUUUCCCUCAAUAAGGUUGUUAAAGAAAAAAAGAGGUGAAGGUCAAGACAAGUGACUAGGUUAUAUUGAAUGAGUUCUUGCCUUUAGACAAAGACAAAUUACAUUUCCAAUUUACUUCAUUUAUUCAUUCACUCAACAAAUAUUAAGAACCUACUGUGUGCUGGGUGCCGAGCUUGGAAAGUUUGGAAUUAGGCAUACAAAGAUGAACACA